ACGGGGAAUGGGGGAUGGAGGGAAAGUGCUUCGCCCGCAUCUCCAGCAUUAACAUUUCAUGGGCGCUGCAGCAUCCUCCUGCACGUAGGUAGGGCUGCGGGGCCAGCAGGGGCUGCGGGGGAGGAGUUUGCAUGGCAAUAUCUUGCACAGGGAAUCUCUCUGGAAAGCUCCAGCACAAAGGAGCUGUACGGCGGCCAAGAGAGCACGCAGCCCACGGUCCCCGAGCCGGCCGCCACCUGGAAGCCAGGUAACGUUGCCUUUCCCUCUCCCUCUACCGUUUCCCAGUGGGAACACGGCCCUUCUCUGGGCCCCGGGUUGGGGAGCAUUGGGUGCAGCCCCGGGAGCCCCCCGGCUGGAUGCCAGCAGCCUCACACUGGAUACCAGCACCAAUACUGAUGGGUGCACUGCCUGCUCGUGUUGUUUUUCAGGAUCCUCAAGAAUAGGGCUCGAGACAGGUAAAUGGAUUCUUGCCUCGUUUUCAGUGCUCCUGGAAGAGAAGCAGGGAAAAUGCUGGUUUGCUUCUUUGUCUUGAAACCACCAUUUUCCCCCGGGCCUGGUGAUGUUAGGUGGGGGUUUUAGAGGAGAGAGGCUGAGGGCAGCCCUGCUCCAGCACAGCUCUUCCCUCUGCAAAGAGUUAACGUGACAGCUGCUGCUGGGCUCCUUUUGGGGAGCCAUUUUCUCUCUCUCAUUGUUCCACCGCCUUUGUGUGCGCGUCCAUCUCGCCCCAGGAGCCGAGAGGAAUGAGACCCCCAACCCCGCGGGGACCCUUCCCCUUUACAGCUCUGCUUCAGAGAGCAGCGGCCGAGCGGCAUGGGGACAAAGGGCUGCAGCGGGGUGCAGGACAGCAGAGGGGGUGGGAGGGGUGGCAGGGUGCUGGGGGGGCCAGACUAGAGCCACUGCUGCGGGUGGAGGGAGGAGGGAUCAUCCCACCAGGCAGAGCAGCAACAAUGGACCUCGGGCAGCAAGCAGCAGCUGCUCAGCAGCUGAAGUGCGCAGUCAUCGCAGAGCGGCCCCACUGGGGUUUGGUGCCAUUGUUGCUUUUCCCACACUGGCCCCCACGCUGCUUGUGCCCAGCGGGAUGUGGCCAGGCAGGACAGCUGCCUCUGCUACAGCCCAUGAGCAGAGAGAUGGGGCAUAGCAGUGGGUCCAGGGGCAUCACAGGGUGUGGGGUGCCCUCACCGCAUGGCAUUGCCACGCUCCCCUUAAGCAGCGCCGUGAUGGGGACCUCGGUGCUGAUCCGACGGCGUGGCACUGCUCCUUGCUCUCUUGCUGCGUUGCUUGCUUUCUUUUGCAGCUGCUAAUGACUGACCUGAGGUCUGUUCACACACAGUCCCCUGCGCAGCCCUCGCAGCGGAACAGCCCGACAGGAUGGGGGACGCUGCACAGUGCCCGUGUAGCCAGGGAGCACAGCACCACCAGCCCCGUGGCUCUGGCCCAGCUCUCACCCGAGGGCACCGGGGCACAGGGAUGCGACCGCCGCCUGCGCACGGACACCGGAGCUGCCGGCCCCAGCGGAGCCACCUGAUGCCAGCCCGGCUGCUGCGGGGACACGGCCAAAGAGACGGUGGUGGUGGUGCCUGAGGACAUGGGACCGCCUGUGUGCAGUUCUGCCAGGCGCUGGGCCCCUCUUCCUCCUGCAAACACUCCAGCACUGCUGGGGCUGUCGCCUCCUCGGAGCUCAUCUCUCGUCCUCACGGUGCCAGGGCUGCAAUUUGCAGGGUGUACUCGGGCGCUGUGUGCCUCAGCAGCACGGUGACAGCAGCAGGUCCCUGCCAAAGCGUUUCAUCAGGAGGGCUGCAUUGCGCUGACCCAUCCGUUGACACCUUCCCAUAUCCCAUAACCCAGUGGCAAAGCCCAAAAACGCCUCCUGCUCUCCAAAGCCAAACCCAGGGAGGUGCUGCCUUGCGCGGGGACUAACCCUGCCCGGCUGUGCAUGCGUGCGCUCUGCUCCUCUCCAGCACUAACCAGGCCCCCCGGGCACCGCGUGCCCCUUGUGAUCACUAACCCACUAACACACCCGAGCAUGCCCUACUAACGGCCCCACUAACCGCGGGCAGCCCACAGGCCUUAAAGGGGAACAGAAAAGCUGGGUAAGUACGGGGCUGUGCUGGGAGCUGUGGGGCUGGGGAAGCCAGGCAGCAUGUGGGGCAGGCAGGGCAGGCUGGGGAGCCCCUCUGCAUGCCCCCUGCAUGGGGCUGCUUUCUGCCACAGUGGGGCUGCAAUGCCUGGGGUGCUGUGUAUGGUUCUGCUGCUGACUGGGAGCCCAGAAAUGGUUUUAUCAGCAGAAGCUUUUCAGUUCCUUUUUAAGCCAGUGGAUCUCUCUGUUACUAACACAUUCCUGAACUGAAUUAAACAAACUAAUCGUUGCUGCUUUUCUCUUCAUUUCUCUUCUAGUGUAUAUGUUCUCUAAGUGCGACUGACGAUGCCAUGCUUCUCUUUACUAACCGCCUGCACUAACCUCUCCUUACUUGUUUCUCUAUUGCUGCUAACAAUUGUUCUUUGCACUUGAACUUUCUGGUGCUGUUGGCCAUGACAGAUGAGUGGUGGCCCCCACCCACCUGGCAACCCAUGGCUGCUGACCCCACACUCUGCCACCAGGUGCAGCGCAAAGGGAGAGGCUCAGGCCUGGGCUGCUGUCAAAAUUUCCCUAUUGGUCUUUCGUUUCCUGAGAAAUUUCACGCGGUUCAAUGAGGAAAAGAUGCUGAGUGGAAAGAGGACAAUGCCAAAACCACGAGCAACAAUUGGCAAUUGCCGCAAUAAUAAAGCUAAGCCGCCCAGAAAGCAGCACGAUGGCCACGAGCCCCCUGGCCCCAGUUCACCUGUCAUGGAAACAGCCUCUACGCAUCAGUGCUCCCACGCGGGGUGGCUGCAGGCGCUGCCCGCUCUCUUUGCUCCCUUUUUCUCUCUGCAGUGAUCUCGUGACCCUGAUGCAUGCAGAAAGGUGGUGCCAGCAGCGUGCUCCUAACUAACCACGAGGCUCUGAGGGCUGAGGCUGCCCAUGAGUUGCUACUCACGGUGUCCUGCCAGCCACUGACGCAGCCACUGACGGUGACAGUGACGGUGAUGGUGAUGAGCUGGCCAGAGGCACUGCCUGACAGAGUCAGGCUGCUCCUAACGUUGGGGCUGGGCUGCAGCCUUUGCUUUGCUUUCGGUAGGUCUGAAAUUAGGUAAUACUCCCCUGCGUUUGCAUGGGGUUGAGGCUUCAGGAUCCAGCCAUCUGCCCAGGUUUGGCAUGCAGUGUGUGUAGGGCAUCACCAGCAUGCACAGGGCACAGUUUGUCCUGCAUCCGGCAGAGGAUGGGGCUCCUAUGCUGCCUUCGGUCCUUGGGACAGGAGCCUGGCUCCUGGACCUGUAGCCAGGGGCACCAAGCUGGCUGCCCCCUGCACUCCAGCCACGAGUGGGGAAUCUGCAGCUGAAGCACCUGAGGGCAAGCAGCUCCCCACCUCCUCCACGUUAACCACUAACCAUCCAUCCCCUGCCCUCAGCCGGGCUGUGAUCAGGAGGAGUUUUUGGGCUGAUGCUGAUGUGUUUGGUUGAGGAGGAUGCCUGCCUCUUCCUGAUGGGGGAGCAGAGACGUUGGGUCCUCAUGGAGCAGAGGAGCAGAAUGGGGAAAGGAGCAGGAGGCAGAGGAGGAUGGGAGGAUGAGCCAGAUCCAGUGCAGGGCAGGGAUCCUCUGGGGCAGCAGGUUCAGGGCCCGGGGAGAAACCUGCAGCAGUGAGCACCUUCCAUCCCUACAUCACGAGCACAGGGCUGCAUGCUCUGAGCCCUGCCUGCCUGGAGCUGGAGAGCUGCAUCUUCCUUCACUCUACCCCGCCACCUCAGCACUCCCUACCUCAGCCCUAUCUUUCCCUUGGCUGGGAGAUGGUCUGUCUGUCUGUCUGUCUAUUUAUUCCCAUCUGAGACCUGCCUGGAGAUAGGUGGUGGUAAAGAGGGGCAUGGGACCCCCAGCCAUGCUGUGGGCAGGGGUCCAGACAGCGCCUGGCCCUGGGGUGCCCCAUCCUGCCCAGGACACACCUUGUACCAGGGCAUGAGAACUUUACUGAGUGUGUCACCUCCCUCCUGCCCUAGCUGUGACAUGCCCAGUGUCUCGAAGGUCUGUGGGUGGGGGGGCAUCAGAGCUGGACACAGGGGUGCUAAGGCAGGCGCGUCCCCGACAGCCCGCUCAGUGCCCGGUGUUCCCACAGUCCCGCAGUGCUGCUGGGUGCAGGGUUCAGUGCUGGCACGGGGCAAGGAUGCUCUGGGGAAAGGGACGUGGGGCUGAGGAUGUCCUUACUGCCUGUAAUGUCUGCUGUGAACAUGGCAAGUGUGCAAA